rnacentral:tRNA from 1 species
GGGAAUGUGGCUCAGUGGUAGAGCGCUUGCCUAGCAUGCACGAGGCCCUGGGUUCGAUCCCCGGCAUCACUA